GACGAACGCUGGCGGCGUGCUUAGCACAUGCAAGUCGAACGGAAAGGCCCUGCUUUUGUGGGGUGCUCGAGUGGCGAACGGGUGAGUAACACGUGAGUAACCUGCCCUUGACUUUGGGAUAACUUCUGGAAACUGGGGCUAAUAUCGGAUAGGAGCUCCUGCUGCAUGGUGUGGGUUGGAAAGUUUCGGCGGUUGGGGAUGGACUCGCGGCUUAUCAGCUUGUUGGUGGGGUAGUGGCUUACCAAGGCUUUGACGGGUAGCCGGCCUGAGAGGGUGACCGGCCACAUUGGGACUGAGAUACGGCCCAGACUCCUACGGGAGGCAGCAGUGGGGAAUAUUGCACAAUGGGCGGAAGCCUGAUGCAGCAACGCCGCGUGCGGGAUGACGGCCUUCGGGUUGUAAACCGCUUUCGCCUGUGACGAAGCGUGAGUGACGGUAAUGGGUAAAGAAGCACCGGCUAACUACGUG
rnacentral:rRNA from 1 species